GCGCAAGGCUCUCCGUUGAGAAGGUGCCUCGGCGGCGCCGGAGGUAGGAGGAGUCGGGCUUCAGGGCUAGAAGUCUGCAGUCUGGAGAGGAGGUCCAGUCACCUGGGGCCUUUCUCGCUGUCGGGGGUGUCUAAUCAGCCAAAGAGAAUAUGGAGGAAAAUAGAUGGGUCUGUGCCCUCAACUUUUGAGCUUAGUAGGGGACAGAUAAUAAGUGAAUACAAAUGUGGGUGCCGAUGCCCUAGGACCACCCGCUUGGAUUUGAUCCCAGCCCUGCCACUUCAAAAGUUGUUUCAAGUUAAGCCAGUUCCUCACUCUUGUGCCUGACUCCUUGCUGUAAAGGGAUGACAGACGAGUCUACGGAAUAGGAUUGUGAUGUGACAUUAAAUGAACCAAUGUGCUUUAUCACUGUGGAGAUCUUGGAGAAUCACCUGAGCGUGAAGUUCAUAUGUAUCCUAUCUCAGAGGCAUCUGUUGGACAACAAAAGCUCUCAGAUCUGAACUUUAAACAUACUGUUUAACAGGGGCUCAAUUUGAAGAAAGGCAUUUUAAAUCCUUAUGGAGGGGAAAGCACUACUUUUUGCUCAACUGUGCAAACUCUCCAGGUGUCCUACUGUGAAGCAGAGAGGAGCCUUAAUGGAGCUUCGAGUCUGAACAAGGCCCUGCUAGGCUCCUUCUCGGGCCCCCAGAUAGAUCUCACACCUCUGAAGACCACCUGCAAGCCUUAAAGCUAGUCAGAUGAUGGAUGAGUCAGACGAUGAUUUUAAGGAACUCUGUGCCAGCUUUCUCCAAAGGGUGAAAAAGAAUGUCACCAAGGAAGUGUCAGGGGAAAAGAAGACACAAAAGGCCUCAAACAGCA